CAAAUUGCGGUGAAUACGUUCCCGGGUCUUGUACACACCGCCCGUCAAACCAUGAAAGUCACCAACACCCGAAGUCCGACUUUUCGGCCUAAGGUGGGGGGAUGAGUUGGGGUU
rnacentral:rRNA from 1 species